rnacentral:piRNA from 1 species
UAUCACAAUUUUACGAAUGAU